CCUACGGGUGGCAGCAGUGAGGAAUAUUGGUCAAUGGACGCAAGUCUGAACCAGCCAUGCCGCGUGCAGGAAGACGGCUCUAUGAGUUGUAAACUGCUUUUGUACGAGGGUAAACUCAGAUACGCGUAUCUGUCUGCACUUAUCGUACGAAUAAGGAUCGGCUAACUCCGUGCCAGCAGUCGCGGUAAUACGGAGGAUUCAAGCGUUAUCCGGAUUUAUUGGGUUUAAAGGGUGCGUAGGCGGUCGGAUAAGUUAGAGGUGAAAUCCCGAGGCUCAACUUCGGAAUUGCCUAUGAUACUGUUCGGCUAGAGAGUAGUUGCGGUAGGCGGAAUGUAUGGUGUAGCGGUGAAAUGCUUAGAGAUCAUACAGAACACCGAUUGCGAAGGCAGCUUACCAAGCUACGUCUGACGUUGAGGCACGAAAGCGUGGGGAGCAAACAGGAUUAGAUACCCCGGUAGUA
rnacentral:rRNA from 1 species